CCCUGCCUGCGAUCCCCGUCUCUCACUUUGCUGAGAGGGACUAUUAAAAACGAAAAAGAAGAAAUAAGCCAGGGACCCCAGCCAUCUGAAUAUAGCACCAAAAUCUGAUGCACCACAACAUCUUCAAGAAACGGCUGCUCUGAGAUCUUUUGUUCAUUUUGCAACUUUAUACAUCUAAACUCCUCCCUCUUCAGCAACCCAAAGGACUUUUCUUGUGAAUCAUCGUAUGAGAAUUAUCUCUUGAGAUAUUCUUCUCCAAUGGAACAGGCUAAAAGAUAUCAGGAGGAACAAAAGGAGCCCAGAAAAUCAGGUAAAGGGCUGGGGAAAGACUCAAGGACUUCAGAGAGAAAACUGUCCUCCCCCUAAAGCUGCAGAAGCGUUACAAAACCACAUUAGGAAGUAGUAAAAGAGACUCUCAUUGAGAUGCAGAGCAGGGAGAGAGCUCUGCCUACAAAGAAAAUUGAGAAAUGAGAAGCAGCAACAGAGAAGACUCUACACAAGUUGUGCGCCUGACCAGCAAGAAGUCUGUUUUCUGUCUUUCAGCUCCAGACCCUGAAAAAGGUGAUGACAUCCUAGAGCCACAGCUGCUUCAGCAGCCCUCUACAGAAGAGGAACACUAGUCCACACAUACACACCAUGACUCCAGUCUUUUAACAUUAAAAAAAACAAAACAACCAUCCCAAAGUGAUAAAAUACUGAAUGUUUCCUAAUGUACAGUAUCCUCAUAUACUUCUGUUAUCCCUCCUUCUCUGAAUAAAAACUUUUUAAACAGAGUGGCAUGCAUAGUUAGUUGUAAGAUAUAGAUGAUUACUCAUA